rnacentral:rRNA from 2 species
UUCCGACCUCAGAUCGGACGAGAUUACCCGCUGAAUUUAAGCAUAUCACUAAGCGGAGGAAAAGAAACU